AUACCGGGCCUUUUUGGGCUUGGUAAUUGGAAUGAGGGAGAGUUAAACGGACCAUCGAGUAUCCAUUGGAGGGCAAGUCUGGUGCCAGCAGCUGCGGUAAUACCAGCUCCAAUAGCGUAUAUUAAAGUUGUUGCAGUUAAAAAGCUCGUAGUUGGACUUGUGUGCGCUGUCCGCGGGUGGCCUGCGCCCAAAAGGGCGUUUCGGUUCGGCCCCGGUGGCGCCUUGAAAUCUGCAGCUGGGGGGACGUUGGCCUUAACUGGUCGGCGACCGCACGCCGGCUGCUCGGCUACUGUGAGAAAAUUAGAGUGUUCAAGGCAGGCAUUGGGUGCAAUUGAAUACAUUAGCAUGGGAUAAUAAAAUAUGGCUCCUGCCGUAUUUUGUUGGUUUUGACUGGUGGGAGUAAUGAUUGAUAGGGACGGUUGGGGGUGCUAGUAUUGAGCGGCCAGAGGUGAAAUUCAUGGAUUCGCUCAAGACUAACUUAUGCGAAAGCAUUCACCAAGGACGUCCUCUUUAAUCAAGAACGAGAGUUGGGGGAUCGAAGACGAUCAGAUACCGUCGUAGUCUCAACCAUAAACUAUGUCGACUUGGGAUCGGCGGUAGUUUUUUCAUUAAGACACUGUCGGGACCACGGGAGAAAUCAAAGUGUCUGGACUCUGGGGGAAGUAUGGUCGCAAGGCUGAAACUUGAAGGAAUUGACGGAAGGGCACCACCAGGAGUGGAGCCUGCGGCUUAAUUUGACCCAACACGGGGAAACUUACCAGGUCCAGAGAUGUAGAGGAUUGACAGAUUGAAGCUCUUUCUUGAUCACUUCGGUGGUGGUGCAUGGCCGUUCUUAGUUGGUGGAGUGAUUUGUCUGGUUAAUUCCGUUAACGAACGAGACCUCAGCCUGCUAGUGUAGUCGGCUGGAUUGCCUUUGGCGAUCCGUGAUUUCGACUUCUUAGAGGGACAAUCGACGCGCAGUCGAUGGAAGUUUGAGGCAAUAACAGGUCUGUGAUGCCCUUAGAUGUUCUGGGCCGCACGCGCGCUACACUGCUGGGCUCAGCGAGUUUUACCUGGCCGAGAGGCCCGGUUAAUCUUGUGAAAUCCCAGCGUGCUUGGGCUCGCCUCCUGCAACUGGAGGCGCCAACGAGGAAUUCCUAGUAGACGCAGGUCAUCAACCUGCAUCGAUUACGUCCCUGCCCUUUGUACACACCGCCCGUCGUUCCAUAAGAGUGAGGCAUCCGGUGAAUUCUCGGGAGAGCCUGGGCGUGGCCAGCAAUGGUCUGCUCGGGUUUGAACUUGCAUAAACUUGGUGCCUAUGAUUAGGG
rnacentral:rRNA from 1 species